GCUCAGGCGUAUCCACGAAGACCACAAUCAUCGUCUGCUCGCCGGAAAGAAAGGAAUAAAAGAAAGAAGAGCCCGGCCAAAAGCUUUAUAGGCCAAUCCUCAAAAGAAGAAGAUUAUUGGACCAAGGGUAAUUUGCUUAAGCCAUCCGUCUUAAGCGCGCAACAAGCAAUCUCGCUCGCUCCUGUAGGUGGGAAGGGCCUAGCCUCAAGUGGGGCUGGAGAGCUGCUGCCCUGCCUUUCUCUAGUUGGUCAUUUUCAUAUACCAAGGGAUGGGGCAAAUAGGUUUUCAAAUGAAAGUGGUGCAUGUAAUGUACUAGUACUAGUCAAUAAAUGAAAUAGAUAUCAAUCCCGGUGACCCACCAGAUAGAAGACAAAGAGUUCCAGUAUGUGCCGUGCUUUGUCAGUUCUAAGAGCAGGUGGAAGACCUCCCUUCCUCACCCUAGCCCUCCCUCCUGCUUAGUUGUCUACUAGGCGGAAAGCGUGCUCUAUUGCCAAUCCUCAUGGUAGGUGACUUUCCUCCAAUCCUCUCUUGGUGGAGUCCUUUGCCUGCCUAUCACACAGCUCUUGCGCUCUCACUGCGCGUGAUCCGCGAUCCCCGUUAUCUAUAUAUCUAGGGAAUCACUGCUUUCCUGAGCGCGCAGCAGCAGCUUUGUUUGCAUGACUUCGCUCGCAGUAUGGAAGAUUGGAUUCGGUAGUUUUCAUUGAUUCUUCUUCGAAGGCUUUGUUCAAUUGUUCUCUCUCUGAGUAUGUAAUUGGUAAUCUACUCACCGUCCUCCCUCUGUUGGUUCUCACCUCUUCUCCUUCUGGUGGAGAAUUUGGUAAUUUCUUUCUGCUUCUCUUUCAUGCCUAUCUAGGGCGUACGCUCUAUUUGACGGGGUUCCCUGGGUCUUUUCCUUCGUCGCUGUAUAGUAUAUAUGGGAGGUCUCCACUUCGUUUCUUCCAGGUGGACAGGCGUGAUGAAGGUGUAAUCACGAAAGAGAGGUCGAUCCUCCCAUAUAUCCAGCAGCUGGUAUCGUACGCCAUUGGAAGGGCGGUUGCGUUUGAGAUGGUCCAACCAGUAGUCUCUUAGUCUCUCCUGGUCGCCUCGCUGAGGCGGGUGGAAGUUCCUCCGCAUUUGGAUGAGAGUAUAUAUGAACGAGCUUACAGCGACCGGGGAAGGGUGACUUGACUAUAUGGUGUAGUGCGAUCCAAAGGUAAAUUCGCUAAGGGCUCUUCUAACGUAACGAAAUCUAUACCAAAAGUGAGGAAUGGAAUGAGCCGAUCCCUUUAAUGAAUCCCUUUGGGGGUAAGGGCAAGCGAGCAAGCAACGGCCCAAUUCACGUAAAGGGAACGCGAAAGCCGUUGCGCGUUAUAGCACCCGUUUUCUUGCUCCCUUUGCUGGUUCUUUCGAGCCAACGAAGGAGGGCUCUUUCUCUCUAGCCGUGAGAGCCGAGACCAGUAAAAGAGCAAGUACGCCUAGCUCUGUUAAGCUGUGUGCUUGCGCACUUAGGUUAGCUCUUGCUAUUGCUUCGGGGCAAUCCUCUCGCCUUCUUCCAUUUGGUUGGUCCCACAUCGAGGGGUCCAAAUUCCCAACGUGCAUUGCUAGUUCUCACUUCGCGCAUCCGCGCUCCGUUCGUUCCCUACGCUUCUGCAUGAGUGAUCUUUCUAUAUAAUGUGGAUCGACUGAUUCAUUCGGGUCGAUAGGCAAAAUAGUACGUAAAGAAAGGGUUCCUUCCUCCCAACGAAUUUCGAGUGAUAGGGAGAGCCCUAAGAGAAGGAGCUUUGUUUGUGGUAUUUGUUUGUGGUUGGUUACAUUGACAGGGAAGUUUCCAUCCAUAUCAAAAGGGAGUGGGUUCAACCUUUCCGAUUGAUCUGCCGACCCCUUUCUGCGGAAGAGAUUUAGGCUCAACAGUGGAAGUUCAUCCGGUCAGGUGCUAGGCUCAGCUCAACCCAAGUGCCCCUCCUAUGGCGUUCGUGACAUAGCAUAUUGUCUGAUCUUCGAGCAGGGGAGGAUAAAAUCCGCUACACCCACCGUCCUUGGCUAUUAGUUACUGAGCUCUUGCUAUAGCUCUAGGGCUAGGGCUUCUUUCUAGCUCUUGCUCGCGCAUUUGGGCUCUACUUCAUUCUUUUGAAAAGAACUCCUCCCUGGCUACUACUGAAUUCAUUCCUCUCGGUAAGUGAAGCUCCCUCCACCCGCCGCCCUUCGGUCAACUCAAACAACAGGCCAGGAAGGACAUUGUUGAACGCUCACUGAGUGCUUCUAGGUUAAAGGAAGCACUAGACUCACUCCACGGGAACUAGCCUAACGGUUUGCUUCAGAUUUUGCAUUCCCUCCCCUUCCUGGAUUUCGCUAGAUUGUCUGCUAUGCUAGCCUAUGAUGAAGGCCGGAUCGGUAUGGAAGCCUGGGCAUAAAGUGUGUUUGUGCGCAGGAGAAAAGGAGGUCAAGGCCAUCCCGAUAGGUUACCAGAAAUCCUCAGCCUUCCGUGACAAGGCGUAAUGGCAGUCCACUUCCCCGGGUUGCGGAAUGAAGUCCCAAUGGAAGCAGGUAGAGGGUGAUUGCCCUUCUGCCGAUCACGGCCCUUGCCUUAAGUGCCUAUGGACGGUUGGGAUUCUGCCGUAGAUCGAGUUCUGGAUGGGACGAAGGUCUGAUCCUCGAACUCCCAGUCUAUCUCAAUUCCGUAACAGCUUCUGUAGAUCUAGCCGGUUACGGUAAAUAACCAAAGAACGAACCAAGGCCCUACUGCUAACCAGUCUUCUUUCCCGACUCCUUCUCCCUAGACCGACCCACCCACCUGCAUUCUUUUCAUCGUUCAUCGAAUUUUGAGCAUGAAAUUGCCCACGGACUAGACCCGGGCUCGAUGCGCCCAGGCUUCGGCUUUUGUCAAUGCCUGUCCAUUUCCUGUUGUGGGCUGGGUUGUCAGGAAGUGAGCCCGAAAGGGCGUCCAGACGCGGGUCGAGUAUGAAUGCUUCCUUUAUCCAAACAAGCUUGACUCUUCCUUUUCCACCGACCUUGGCUAUUUGAGCUGCGGGUUCGGAGUGAGCCGGUUCAAUAAGUCUUUCCCGUCUGAUCUCAGGAUCAAAUCUUCAGCAUUGAGAUGCUUAACGCAGCCGUUCCAGUUUAUUGCACUGCAAUCAAAGGCGCUUUGGCCGCGGUGCACGCUCUACUCCCACUGCCAAAAUUCGCGAAAGAAAGACCAUGCGAAUAAGUACGUCAAGGCCGCGCUCUACCAAUGCUGCGUUUGGGCGCAAUCAGCGGGCGAGGCAUCUCAGCCUUAGCGCGCGGCUUCUGCUCCUUGCGCGGAAUGGAAUGCCCAGAAGGGACACAGAUAAAGUGACCAGGUUAUCUCACACGGCGAAGCCUGACCCCAGACUGGAGCAGUUUCAGCUUGUCUUUUGGCCCUUGGACGUUGUAAUUGCUUUUCUGUUGGAUUGAUUGGGAGAGUGGUUCGCAUAUGAUCUCUUCGUUUACGGCUCUUUCUUCCUUCUCUGAUUGCUAUUUGUUCUCCGGAAGGUUGAUUUUCUUUUGUAAUCUGAUCUUCCCUUUAUCCCAAACAAAAAGACCUUAUUGCCCCUAGCGGUUGAGGGAGAAAACGAAUUGUCAGUUUGGAUGGAUUGAUUGUGAAUAAAUGCACUAUCUAAUAGGCAAAUCUAAUAAUAGUAGCGAUCAUCUAUCAAACAAAGAAAGAG
rnacentral:rRNA from 1 species